AAUGAACGCUGGCGGCAGGCCUAACACAUGCAAGUCGAAUGGAGUUAUAUUGUAGCUUGCUAUGGUAUAACUUAGUGGCAGACGGGUGAGUAAUGUAUAGGAAUCUACCUAGUAGUACGGAAUAAUUGUUGGAAAGGGCAACUAAUACCGUAUACGCCUACGGGGAAAAGUUAAUUGUUAUUAGAUGAGCCUAUAUUAGAUUAGUUAGUUGGUGAGGUAAAGGCUUACCAAGACAAUGAUCUAUAGCUGAUCUGAGAGGAUGAUCAGCCACACUGGAACUGAGAUACGGUCCAGACUCCUACGGGAGGCAGCAGUGGGG
rnacentral:rRNA from 1 species